rnacentral:rRNA from 1 species
GCAAGACCAAAGUGGGGGACCUUCGGGCCUCAUGCCAUCAGAUGUGCCCAGAUGGGAUUAGCUAGUAGGUGGGGUAACGGCUCACCUAGGCGACGAUCCCUAGCUGGUCUGAGAGGAUGACCAGCCACACUGGAACUGAGACACGGUCCAGACUCCUACGGGAGGCAGCAGUGGGGAAUAUUGCACAAUGGGCGCAAGCCUGAUGCAGCCAUGCCGCGUGUGUGAAGAAGGCCUUCGGGUUGUAAAGCACUUUCAGCGGGGAGGAAGGCG